UGGUCAUUUAGAGGAAGUAAAAGUCGUAACAAGGUUUCCGUAGGUGAACCUGCGGAAGGAUCAUUACCGAGAGUAUACCUCUCCACCCUUUGUUGACCUACCUCGGUUUCUUCGGCGGGCAGUGGCCGCCCUUAGGGCGCUGCCCCGGCCCCGGCCGGCCCGUCGGUGGUAACUCUGCCAAAAGUGACGUCUGAGUGGCUUCUAAAUAAACAAAACUUUCAACAACGGAUCUCUUGGUUCUGGCAUCGAUGAAGAACGCAGCGAAAUGCGAUAAGUAAUGCGAAUUGCAGAAUUCAGCGAGUCAUCGAAUCUUUGAACGCACAUUGCGCCCCUCGGUAUUCCGUGGGGCACACCCGUCCGAGCGCCGUUAGAACACUCAGGCCCUGCCUGGCGUUGGGAGGGUCGGUCCGGCCCCCCUAAAACUUUUUGGCACCCCACGCCCCAAGCGAUGCAGCGAAAUGCGAAGCGCCGGUGCGGUGGAGGUCGCCUGUACUUUAGACGGUAUGGCCUCGGAUCGGGUGGGAAUACCCGCUGAACUUAAGCAUAUCAAUAAGCGGAGGAA
rnacentral:rRNA from 1 species